CUGGGUCCGGGGGACACUCGGGGGCCGGCAUGGCAGAGGGAACCAGCCGAGUCUGCGACGCGCAGAGACUUGGCGGCCCUGGGUCUUGCGCCCACCGUCCUCCGGGGGCAGGAGGAUGGAGAAGGGUCGGCUACCGGUAGACUGCCCUCGGGGGAUCCCGGAGCGUCCGCCGACCUCAGCCGCCGAGCGACUCGGGCUGUGCUCCCCGCCUCGGGCGGAGAGCCCCUAGCGGAGCAGCACCGGGGGUAGCCGAGGGAGAGACGGGGCGGGGCGCUGAGCCAGGCACCGGGAUGCAAGGGGAGCCAAAAGGGACCGGACGCGGCCGAGCGUCGCGGGGCAGAGCCUGGGCCGCAGCUCGAACCCUAGCUAGGCGCACGGACCUCGGCAAGGCGCCCAUCCCCCGCCCCGCGGGCCCCGCGCUCAGCCGGGAGUCGGGCAGGAGGCUCGGACUCUGAAGCCUAAUUCAUGGCCGGAAACCGGCGCAGCCGUGACCGCGGCGCCUGGACGUGAGGAGCCUUCCAAGCUGCCGGCGUACUCAGACUCCCACUCUGCACGGAGCCUUUACGCGCGAGCCCGGGCGAAGAGCCCGCUCCUGGCGUCCAGCGCCGAACCGAGCUCUCUCCGCCGCCUGGCGAAUGCCUCCGGCCGGCCACCAACAGAUGCAACGUUAAACCAGCCUGGGCUCAAGCCUGGGAGGAGGUGGCAAGCCGGACGCGCCGCUCGCUCACCCCCAGGUCCCAGACGGACUGGGCUCCACGUGGCACACUCAAGAUUUCGGGGAGACAACUGAGUCCUCCCGGACCCCGAUUCCGCGGAAGCUUGGUCUGGGCGACCAUAACAGAGCCUCAUGCAAGGGGCCUCUCUAGAAAGCCCGGGAGCGUCCCUUGGCCCUGUAGUCCGCCAGCGCGAAGGCGCCUGCCAUCCCCUGUGCCGUGCGUGAGGGACUUGGAGAGGCUUAGCGACAGACCUUGCCUGAACCUCCCUGCGCAGUGGGAGAGGUGGACACAGAUCGUUAGAAGAUGUGGCGAGGACCCUGAAUGAGCCAUGUAUGCGCAUGGCCAAGCAUGGGAGGAAGAGCCAGGGAUGGCUUCCUGGAGGAGGUAGAGCCAGCAGGAUUGCAGCCCGACAAUCCUCAAGACCCCCUUCAAAAUAUUAAGAAAACAAGCCACACAGUUUUGCAGAGACUUCUGCCAGUUUUGGUUUGGAUGAUGAUGAGGUCUCUCUGGUUUGGAACCUGGGAGUUGUGACUCCAGUUGGAAUCCCCUGGAAGCUGUUGGCCUGGGCCCGUCCAAGCAUAGAGCCCACCUGGGAUUUCCAAGACAGUUCAGCCUACGCCCUACACGAAGCUUACUACCGGCAAGAAAGACCAAGGCCCGGCCAUUCUCUGCAGGCUUUGGCACAGAAGACAAGAUCUCCUGAGUACAUUAGAAGGGGGCCAACCCAAGUCCUGAGGUCAUCUCUGCGGGGUGGGGUCAGCCAGCAUCUUAGAAGGAGCCGGGCUUGGAGCCCUGCAGCUUGAGUUCCAGGCUGGGCCGUACCCAUGGGCUCCAAGAAACACACCCUCUGCCAGGAUUCUGAGCUCAGAAAAACCUCACUGCCCCUGGCCCCUCUUAACCCACUGGAUUUUUCCUUUUUAAAAAACACCUUUAUUUAUUGCUUAUCCCCCCUCCCCCCUUUUCCCUCUGUACUGCCUUUGGCUCUCCAGCUGUAUGUCAAUUGUCCAUCUCUCCUUUGUCUUCCUUGCCCCUUCUUGCCAACCUCUCUCAUCUCAUUUUCACUGUUUCUCAGCUUGUAUUUAUUUUAUUUGAUCUCCUUUUAUAUUACCGUAUUUUUUAUUUUAUUUUUAUUCUUGGGUCGCCUCAUGGGUUUUUACUUUCAGUUUCCCAAGCUGGCAGUCUUUUGCAUCGCUCAUUCUAUUAUCUGAGCCUUCUAUGCAUUUGGUCUUUGGUUUUCCUGAGGUUGCGUGUGGGGGAGUGGCGCCUCCAGGGCAGGACCUGCUGGUGUGCCCCCCCCCACGCUCAGCUGCUGCACCUUUUCCAGGUACCCCCACCGCCCCACUGGCAAUGGCACAGUGCAGGUCCCCCUGGCUGGCAGCCGGGGGAGGGGAGGGCUUCACUUUCUGGAGCCCUGCCCUGUGAGGAGGAAGAAAACCAUACACAGUGUGUCCUCCCCUUAUUUUUGCAGGGUAAGGACCCCUCUUUAUCCCCAUUAUACAGUCAGGAAACUGGGGCCCA